GUCCUGGCCCUAAACGGUGCAUGUUUGCUGUAAGAGGAAUCGACCCCUUUUGUGGCGAAGCUAACGCGUUAAACAUGCCGCCUGGGAAGUACGGCCGCAAGGUUAAAACUCAAAGAAAUUGACGGGGGCCUGCACAAGCGGUGGAGUAUGUGGCUUAAUUCGAUGCAACGCGAAGAACCUUACCUGGCCUUGACAUGCAUCUAGUAGAAGGGUGAAAGCCCGACGAGGUAGCAAUACCAGGAUGCACAGGUGCUGCAUGGCUGUCGU
rnacentral:rRNA from 1 species